CAGGUUGGCAUCAAUGUUCCCAUUCCAGUUCCAUUGCCCUUUUUCUCAUUUACUGGCAACAAGGCAUCAUUUGCAGGAGAUCUCAAUUUCUAUGGGAAGGCUGGGGUUAACUUUUAUACUCAGAUUAAGACAGUGACUCAGCAAUGGAAGGAUUCUGCUGGUGGUAGCAGAAUUAACUUGGCAAUGCCGACCUCUCAAAAAUCUUGAUGAAACACUGUAUAGUAGUUAAAUUUGGAUCCCUAGAAGCAUUUCAUAUUUUAGAGGGUGAAAUAGAGGAAGAUAAAAUAGGAGAGUGACCUUCACUUCUGUUGGACAUAUAUAAGCACAGGUGAAAUCUACUUUUCCUUCUCCCUCUCUCUGCUUUAGGAGGUGAAGUUUUUCAGAAGAUCCAAAUUUAUUAUGACAGUUUGGCUUUGUCUUUCUCCCCUUCGCCCCCAGGCUUGCUCUGUUCAAUGAAUAAAGGGACCCUUCCUCUUA